rnacentral:rRNA from 1 species
AUUGAACGCUGGCGGCAGGCCUAACACAUGCAAGUCGAACGGUAACAGGGAUCAGCUUGCUGAUUCGCUGACGAGUGGCGGACGGGUGAGUAAUGUCUGUGAAACUGCCUGAUGGAGGGGGAUAACUACUGGAAACGGUAGCUAAUACCGCAUAACGUCGCAAGACCAAAGAGGGGGACCUUCUCGCCUCUUGCCAUCGGAUGUGCCCAGAUGGGAUUAGCUAGUAGGUGGGGUAACGGCUCACCUAGGCGACGAUCCCUAGCUGGUCUGAGAGGAUGACCAGCCACACUGGAACUGAGACACGGUCCAGACUCCUACGGGAGGCAGCAGUGGGGAAUAUUGCACAAUGGGCGCAAGCCUGAUGCAGCCAUGCCGCGUGUAUGAAGAAGGCCUUCGGGUUGUAAAGUACUUUCAGCGGGGAGGAAGGGAGUAAAGUUAAUACCUUUGCUCAUUGACGUUACCCGCAGAAGAAGCACCGGCUAACUCCGUG